GAUGAACGCUGGCGGCGUGCCUAAUACAUGCAAGUCGAGCGAACGGACGAGAAGCUUGCUUUUCUGAUGUUAGCGGCGGACGGGUGAGUAACACGUGGAUAACCUACCUAUAAGACUGGGAUAACUUCGGGAAACCGGAGCUAAUACCGGAUAAUAUUUUGAACCGCAUGGUUCAAAAGUGAAAGACGGUCUUGCUGUCACUUAUAGAUGGAUCCGCGCUGCAUUAGCUAGUUGGUAAGGUAACGGCUUACCAAGGCAACGAUGCGUAGCCGACCUGAGAGGGUGAUCGGCCACACUGGAACUGAGACACGGUCCAGACUCCUACGGGAGGCAGCAGUAGGGAAUCUUCCGCAAUGGGCGAAAGCCUGACGGAGCAACGCCGCGUGAGUGAUGAAGGUCUUCGGAUCGUAAAACUCUGUUAUUAGGGAAGAACAUAUGUGUAAGUAACUGUGUACAUCUUGACGGUACCUAAUCAGAAAGCCACGGCUAACUACGUG
rnacentral:rRNA from 1 species